UACGUAGGGUGCAAGCGUUGUCCGGAAUUAUUGGGCGUAAAGAGCUCGUAGGCGGUCUGUCGCGUCUGCUGUGAAAAUCCAGGGCUCAACCCUGGACCUGCAGUGGGUACGGGCAGACUAGAGUGCGGUAGGGGAGAUCGGAAUUCCUGGUGUAGCGGUGAAAUGCGCAGAUAUCAGGAGGAACACCGGUGGCGAAGGCGGGUCUCUGGGCAGUAACUGACGCUGAGGAGCGAAAGCGUGGGGAGCGAACAGG
rnacentral:rRNA from 1 species